rnacentral:rRNA from 1 species
GACGAACGCUGGCGGCGUGCUUAACACAUGCAAGUCGAACGGAAAGGCCCUGCUUUUGUGGGGUGCUCGAGUGGCGAACGGGUGAGUAACACGUAAGUAACCUGCCAUUGACUUUGGGAUAACUUCAGGAAACUGGGGCUAAUACCGGAUAGGAGCUACUGCUGCAUGGUGGGGGUUGGAAAGUUUCGGCGGUUGGGGAUGGACUCGCGGCUUAUCAGCUUGUUGGUGGGGUAGUGUCUUACCAAGGCUUUGACGGGUAGCCGGCCUGAGAGGGUGACCGGCCACAUUGGGACUGAGAUACGGCCCAGACUCCUACGGGAGGCAGCAGUGGGGAAUAUUGCACAAUGGGCGGAAGCCUGAUGCAGCAACGCCGCGUGCGGGAUGACGGCCUUCGGGUUGUAAACCGCUUUCGCCUGUGACGAAGCGUGAGUGACGGUAAUGGGUAAAGAAGCACCGGCUAACUACGUG